rnacentral:lncRNA from 1 species
CAGCCUACAUUCCGAGAAUAUCCUAACCAUUUGCAAAUUCUUUUCCACAGACUAUUUGUUCUUGCACAACCAAAGAAGAGAUGAUUAAAAUCUUCCACUUGAGACUUGCAGAAUACACAGUCCAUUGGGAUAUGAAUGCCCAUUACCUGCAAUCUAUCCACAGUAGGAAGACUGUGAUGAGCUGCAAGCCAGGCAGUAAACUUGUGCCUAGGCAGCACAUUAUCAAUUAGCAACAAAUUUUUCCAUGUGACUUUUGUAAAACUGG